rnacentral:misc_RNA from 1 species
GUCCAAAUCAAAGAGUCUCUUAGAAGGCACAGAAGGAGAGUAGAGAAAGUUAGGGAUGAGAUAUUGGCGGGAGUUAUCUGCGACAGCCAUCAUGGAAUUGACCGUUACUUGGGCCUGGAGAUGAAAAGAUCGUUCUUUUCUUUCUCAAAACAAGUAUUUGAGAAAGGGAACGAGUUGAAGAAUUAUGACUGGUCAAGGAGGGAAAU